AGGCAAAGGCAGCGUACCAGGGUCCAGAUUGUGUCGUUCGCGUAAGGACUGGGUUGGCGACGGGCAUCGGCGAACUGCACAUGGUAGUGAGGAAGGAGAACGGGUUUGCCACGUCGACGCACCACGCUCGUGUUCCUCGUUGUGGGUGGCAGCCCUCGAAGUACACGAAUCGGCGGCGGCUUGGAGGUCUUUCCAUGGCCGUGCACGCGGAACUGCUUAUGGUCGGCGAAUCUCGGAGGGCAACAGCGGGAUUAGGCGGGCUCACGGGAUGCCCAGGGCGUGCUGCUGCUCCCUGCCUCUCCUCGCGGGCGAAUCUCGGCUGAGUAGGCGCUCAUGGUAGAGAAGAAAGAGGGGAUCAGGAUGGUGGCCACGCUGGUGGAGGAGAUCGGGUGAGCCCCGGACAGUUUCAGGUUAAAGAAGGAUUGGAUCAGGAAAUAGAAGGAUUGGACUAAAGAACAGGAAAGAGAUUGCCUUGGAUCGAAGAAGAGGAAGGAGACCUGGUCUGUGGCGGCGGCGCAUUGAUCUGCGCUGGGAGACAUCCUCCUGUAUAGAGAGGAAGAAGGGGAU
rnacentral:rRNA from 1 species